rnacentral:lncRNA from 1 species
AGUGCUCCAGACAAUGAAACAAAGUGUGGGCCCUAUUUAUCUUCCCGCAUUCUUCAGGCCCCCGUUUCUCCCACACCCGCCCUCACCUUUUAUUUGGUUGUUGUUCCUAGCACUUCAUGGUUUUUAAUUCACUACCUCGUAUCAUCAUUCAACAGCUCUGAAUUUCUUCUUCACUCUGAACAGCCGGGCUGGGGGGGCGGGGGUUGCUGGGCGGAGAGGUGACCCAGUUGGUGGCGGGAAGUGAUAGGAGGGCCUCUGGGGACCGCAGGACUGGGGGCACUGGACUGAGCAGAUCCGACCUUGGCAGGCGGGGGGGUGGGGGAGGGUGCCCCUCUUUGUCUCUGUCACGCAGCCAUGACCAGAGGAGAGAGUGGAGGACCCCUGGCUCACGGCCUAUGCCCCCUACCUCACCAGAAAACCCAUCCCAAGGCAGCGCUCCCUGAAAAGGACCUUCUCCUCUGUUUACACUGACAGCACCCACUUUGGAGUAUGACUCGAUACCGGCAUGGAUUCAUUUGAAAAGUAUCCUCCCCUCCCUUUUACAUUUUCAGGAUAAAAGCAAAGAAUUCGGGAUAAAAGCAAGACCCUUCCCUGGAAAACACGAAACUGGAAAUCUUUCUAAGAGGGCAAAAAAUACCCCCUUGACUUGUCAUCAUCGGGAAAUGAAUCACCUCCGAUCAGCAGAAGUUUGCCUAUUGUGCACUCCCUUUUUUCUUUUGGUUUUGUAACUCUAGGUGUCUUAAUAGAAACCGUCCUGCAAUCUGCCAUGCACCGCUCUUUUGGACGAUGGACUCGGGAGGGCAGGGUGCUGGAUGGGCAUUCCUAGUGGAC